rnacentral:rRNA from 1 species
GAUGAACGCUAGCGGCAGGCCUAAUACAUGCAAGUCGAACGGGAUCCAGAUCAAAGCUUGCUUUGGUUUGGUGAGAGUGGCGCACGGGUGCGUAACGCGUGAGCAACCUACCCUUGUCAGGGGGAUAGCCCGGCGAAAGUCGGAUUAAUACCGCAUGACAUCAUUGAGAGGCAUCUUUCGAUGAUCAAAGAUUUAUCGGACAAGGAUGGGCUCGCGUGACAUUAGCUAGUUGGUAAGGUAACGGCUUACCAAGGCUACGAUGUCUAGGGGCUCUGAGAGGAGAAUCCCCCACACUGGUACUGAGACACGGACCAGACUCCUACGGGAGGCAGCAGUAAGGAAUAUUGGUCAAUGGACGGAAGUCUGAACCAGCCAUGCCGCGUGCAGGAAGACGGCCCUAUGGGUUGUAAACUGCUUUUAUACGGGAACAAACGUCGGUACGUGUACCGGUCUGAGUGUACCGUAAGAAUAAGGAGCGGCUAACUCCGUG